rnacentral:rRNA from 2 species
AGAACGACUCUCGGCAACGGAUAUCUCGGCUCUCGCAUCGAUGAAGAACGUAGCGAAAUGCGAUACUUGGUGUGAAUUGCAGAAUCCCGUGAACCAUCGAGUCUUUGAACGCAAGUUGCGCCCGAGGCCUACCGGCCGAGGGCACGCCUGUCUGGGCGUCACGC